UACGUAGGGUGCAAGCGUUGUCCGGAAUUAUUGGGCGUAAAGGGCUCGUAGGCGGUUUGUCGCGUCGGGAGUGAAAACUCAGGGCUUAACCCUGAGCCUGCUUCCGAUACGGGCAGACUAGAGGUAUGCAGGGGAGAGUGGAAUUCCUGGUGUAGCGGUGAAAUGCGCAGAUAUCAGGAGGAACACCGGUGGCGAAGGCGGUUCUCUAGGCAUUACCUGACGCUGAGGAGCGAAAGUGUGGGGAGCGAACAGG
rnacentral:rRNA from 1 species